rnacentral:lncRNA from 1 species
AUCUCCAGCUUUUGCUUAUUUUUUUUCGUUUGUUCAUCGCGUUUGUUUGCAUCUUGGCCACUUUUGAGUGCUGAUUGCUAGAGCGCAUGCUUUUCUUUCUAUUGUUUCUUGGAUUUGAUGGUUAUGUUAUGGUUAACUCGCACCAUUAGCCCCCUGUGCUGUUGAGGUUUGGAGCAGGGAAAACUGCGGGAAAAGGGUAUCUAUGGGUGCAAAAUCAAUCCAGUUGGACAUGGGCUAUGUUACUUCUGUGGAAGCCAGCGAUUUUCCUCGGAAUCAAUUUUUCUGUCCACAUUCACCUUGGUGUUCUGUAGUUUGGAUUCGCUUAGUAUGUUUUAGAUCGAUUUUGUCGAGCACAUGAUGAUGUUACAGUUGUUUAGAAGCGAAAUGAGGAGGCGAAAUCAUCUGAAUUUAUGCUGUGGAUAUUACCUACAUGGUCUUCAAAGUUCUCUGAUCGCUUCAUGUUCAAAUCUCAUGUGUAGCUUGAUGUGUUUUGCUUACCUGAUUUCUGCUAGAUGCAACAUAGAAGCAAAAUGAGGAAUCAACACAUCUGAAGUUUUGCUUACCUGAUUUCUGCUAGAUGUACUAUAGCCAAGGAAAUCAACACAUCUGAAGUCUACCUACUGUGGAUCUUAUCCAAUUGGUGCCUAUCUAGAUUUACCUUUGCAUUUUUCUUAUCUUCAUUGCCAUAUGUGUACACUCUUGUUGCCGAGGGAAAAAUAUGCAUGUUUUAAGUUGUGAAGAAAAAUGAGAACUCAUGUGAUCUGAAGUAUCUGAUGCUGAUACAUCCGUAUAUGAUUUCAAAGUUCUCUGAUUGCUUACUUGCGCGCACAGCCCUCUUAUCCAAUUGGUGAAUAUCUAGGUUUACUUGACAUUUUCUUUUCUUUGCAAAAUGAUUCAUUCUUUCUUGAAACUUGAUGUUGACCGAGGAUGAAAAUGCAUGUUUUAUGUGUGUUUGCACAGUUCGUAAGGAAGUGAGAAUUGUUGCACCUCUGCUUUGUAUGCCCUGCUCUCUGACUGUUUGUGGGGUAUUUACAUUGGUGCAAAAAGGAAAAGCUGCUCCUUGGAGCAGCAGCGGCCAGACAACCGUAGAGAUAGAUCCACAGAUGAAUGGCUAAUCUGCUGCUUGUCUACUAAUUCUAUCUCACAUUUCUAAUGAUUAUUUUCCUGUAUUUUAGAGACAUCCAGUAUGUAGUGUCUGUUGCACCUGUGAUGUAUUGUCCUACUUGCGGUGCUAGUAGGAUAUAACACUGGUGCAGAAAGGAAAAGUUGCUCCUUGGAGCAGCAGCGGCCAGACAACCGUAGAGAUAGAUCCACAGAUGAAUGGCUAAUCUGCUGCUUGUCUACUAAUUCUAUCUCACAUUUUGAAUGAUUAUUUUCCUGUAUUUAGAGACAUAGGGUAAUUUAGCAAUGCACAAAUAUCCAGUAUGUAGUGUCUAUGUUGCACAUGUGUUGUAUUGUCCUACUUACUUGCCGUGCUAGUAGGAUAUAACACUGGUGCAGAAAGGAAAAGCUGCUCCUUGGAGCAGCAGCGGCCAGACAACCGUAGAGAUAGGUCCACAGAUGAAUGGCUAAUCUGCUGCUUGUCUACUAAUUCUAUCUCACAUUUCUGGUUAUUUUCCUGUAUUUUAGUGUCAUGGGAUAAUUAAGCGUUGCACAAAUAUCCAGUAUGUAGUGUCUAUGUUGCACCUGUGUGUUGUAUUGUCCUACUUUCUUGCCAUGCUAGUAGGAUAUAACACUGGUGCAGAAAGGAAAAGCUGCUCCUUGGAGCAGCAGCGGCCAGACAACCGUAGAGAUAGAUCCACAGAUGAAUGGCUAACAUGCUGUUUGUCUACUAAAUCUAUCCCACAUUUCUUGCCUGCAACGGUUGGCAUGUUUGCUCUAACAUGCUUGUCAAGAUAGCUGUGCAUUGUGUCAAAAUGCUUGUUGUUUCAAAAAAUAUAUUUGUUGGUGUUCACUUGUGCAUUACUGCACCUUUAAUUUGUACAUAUCUGCUUUCUUGUUAGUUGGCAGGAUUUUCGUAUGACAGUACUGACACACAAUCCAUAAUGAAUAAAUCAAAGUGCAGCAGAACCAUUAGAUUGACUAUUGUACAUAAAUCAUAACAAAAAAUUGUAUGUAGAGUAGUUCUGUUCUUAUUAUGAUUGUGUGAUGUUAAACAUGGUGCACAAAUGAAAUGCUCCAUGCAUCCAUAUAUGGUCUUCAAAGUUCUCUGAUUGUUGUGUUUACGUCUUACUGAUGUCUAUGAGUCAAAGUUACAGUGUUUUAUGUGGUUGAAAAGCAAAGUGAGGAGAUUAUAUGAUCUGAAGUAUCUAAUGUGGAUACAACCAUACAUGGUCUUCAAAGUUCUCUGAUUGUUUCUCAUAACUCUUUUCUUCAUUGAUGUUACCCGAGGAAGAAAAAACAUGUUAAAGUUGUUAUGAAGCAAAAUGAUAUCCAUACACAGUCUUCAAAGUUCUCCUAUUGGUAUUGUUUUCUUCCUUUGUUGGUGGAUAUAUCUUUUUAGUGUGUAAUGGGUAUUGUUUGAGUUGAAGUUUCAGUGCUUUAUGUAGUUGAAAAGCAAAAUGAGGAGAUUAUAUGAUCUGAAAGUAUCUGCUGUUGAUACAACCAUACAUGGCCUUCAAAGUUCUCUGAUUGUUUAUUGUAGCUUGUACCUACACAUGCUGGUAUUUGUUUCUUUUUUGUGGCAAUUUUUUUAUGUUGUAUGAUGAUUCCUGGAUAAAAAAAGUGUUUUAUGCCAUUCAGAAGCAAAAUGAGGAGGUUAUAUAAUCUGAAGUAUCUAAGAGCAUCUCCAACAGCCGCGCUAAACUAGCGCCGCGCCGCAAAAUAGGCCUUUUUAGCGCGCGCGCAACGCGGCGGCUCGCUCCAGCGGGCGCGCUAAAACGGCACGCGUGCGAUAACGGAUUGGGCGCGCGGUCAAAAACACUUAUCCGCGCGAUGUAUUUGGAGCGCGCGGCACACUCGAGCGCACGCGCUUGCACUCUCCCUCUCCUCGUCCUACGCCCCGCGCGCGCCGGCGUUGGUG